GCGGUUAUAGCUCAGUGGUAAAGUUCUUGCCUAGCUCACAUGAGGCCCUGGGUUUAAUCCCCAGAACUGCA
rnacentral:tRNA from 1 species